rnacentral:rRNA from 1 species
AUUGAACGCUGGCGGCAUGCUUUACACAUGCAAGUCGAACGGUAACAGGCCGCAAGGUGCUGACGAGUGGCGAACGGGUGAGUAAUGCAUCGGAACGUGCCCAGUCGUGGGGGAUAACUGCUCGAAAGAGCAGCUAAUACCGCAUACGAUCUAUGGAUGAAAGCGGGGGACCGUAAGGCCUCGCGCGAUUGGAGCGGCCGAUGUCAGAUUAGGUAGUUGGUGGGGUAAAGGCUCACCAAGCCAACGAUCUGUAGCUGGUCUGAGAGGACGACCAGCCACACUGGGACUGAGACACGGCCCAGACUCCUACGGGAGGCAGCAGUGGGGAAUUUUGGACAAUGGGGGCAACCCUGAUCCAGCAAUGCCGCGUGCAGGAAGAAGGCCUUCGGGUUGUAAACUGCUUUUGUACGGAACGAAACGGUCUGGGUUAAUACCCUGGGCUAAUGACGGUACCGUAAGAAUAAGCACCGGCUAACUACGUGCCAGCCGCCGCCAUAACAC